UACGGAGGGAGCUAGCGUUAAUCGGAAUUACUGGGCGUAAAGCGUGCGCAGGCGGCUUUGCAAGACAGGCGUGAAAUCCCCGGGCUCAACCUGGGAAUGGCGCUUGUGACUGCAAAGCUGGAGUGCGGCAGAGGGGGAUGGAAUUCCGCGUGUAGCAGUGAAAUGCGUAGAUAUGCGGAGGAACACCGAUGGCGAAGGCAAUCCCCUGGGCCUGCACUGACGCUCAUGCACGAAAGCGUGGGGAGCAAACAGG
rnacentral:rRNA from 1 species